rnacentral:rRNA from 1 species
AUUGAACGCUGGCGGCAGGCCUAACACAUGCAAGUCGAACGAGUGGCGGACGGGUGAGUAAUGUCUGGGAAACUGCCUGAUGGAGGGGGAUAACUACUGGAAACGGUAGCUAAUACCGCAUACCAUCAGAUGUGCCCAGUUGGGCUUAGCUGGUUGGUGGGGUAACGGCUCACCAAGGCGACGAUCCCUAGCUGCUCUGAGAGGAUGACCGUCCAAACUGGAGCUGGGACACGGGCCAGACUCCUACGGGAGGCAGCAGUGGGGAAUAUUGCACAACGGGCGCAAGCCUGAUGCAGCCCUGCCGGGUGUAUGAGGAAGGCCUUCGGGUUGUAAAGUACUUUCAGCGGGGAGGCGUUACCCGCAGAAGAAGCACCGGCUAACUCCGUGCCAGCAGCCGCGGUAAUUC